rnacentral:rRNA from 1 species
UACGUAGGGAGCAAGCGUUGUCCGGAAUCAUUGGGCGUAAAGCGCGCGUAGGUGGCUUCGUAAGUCCGUUGUGAAAGUCAAAGGCUCAACCUUUGAAAGCCGAUGGAUACUGCGGAGCUAGAGUACGGAAGAGGCGAGUGGAAUUCCGCGUGUAGCAGUGAAAUGCGUAGAUAUGCGGAGGAACACCGAUGGCGAAGGCAAUCCCCUGGACCUGUACUGACGCUCAUGCACUAAAGCGUGGGAGCAAACAGG